AGUGAACGCUGGCGGUAGGCCUAACACAUGCAAGUCGAACGGCAGCACAGGAGAGCUUGCUCUCUGGGUGGCGAGUGGCGGACGGGUGAGGAAUACAUCGGAAUCUACUUUUUCGUGGGGGAUAACGUAGGGAAAUUUACGCUACUACCGCAUACGACCUACGGGUGAAAGCAGGGGACCUUAGGGCCUUGCGCGAUUGAAUGAGCCGAUGUCGGAGUAGCUACGUGGCGGGGUAAAGGCCCACCAAGGCGACGAACCGUAGCUGGUCUGAGAGGAUGAUCAGCCACACUUGAAGUGAGACACGAUCCAGACUCCUACGGGAGGCAGCAGUGGGGAAUAUUGGACAGUGGGCGCAAGCCUGAUCCAGCCAUACCGCGUGGGUGAAGAAGGCCUUCGGGUUGUAAAGCCCUUUUGUUGGGAAAGAAAUCCAGCUGGCUAAUACCCGGUUGGGAUGACGGUACCCAAAGAAUAAGCACCGGCUAACUUCGUGCCAGCCGCCGCAGUAA
rnacentral:rRNA from 1 species